AGAUCUAUGAGGUUAAAGUGGGUCUCAAGAUGUUGGCCCAAACUUGACAGAUUGAGGUUUAGAAUCGUCAGCAAAUCUUAAGUGGUAAAUAUAGGAGCCAAGUAGAUCAACUCAAAUGAGGCAACAGAAAUUUGAAUGAAGGAUUCAGCAUGGCCUCCAAAAAUCCUUAUAUCCCAAGAGAAGAAAGAGAACGUUGCAUGUGCAGGAAGAAAUUGCAAAGGAGCAACAACAACUGGGUUAUUGCUUCACCAUGUACCGAAGCUGGCACCUGCCACUGAUUGCUGAUGGGGCCACAGUUCAGAGCCUGCACACUGCCAUUAAAAGUCUAGCUUGGAAUGUCCUGGAUGAGCACAAGGACCACAGUGUUUCAUAGAUGUUCUGUGUUGGCCACAAUCAAUAGGAAAAGAGGAUGAUGUGCAGAAGAUGUGACGAGUUUACUACUGUUUCAAGCAUUUUCCAGUUCCUGUACUCUGGUCAGUGAUGCCAAUCGUGAUUAUAGCAGAAUCAUUAUGUCCAGGUAACAGAGAUCAUACAUGGCUAUAUAAUCAAUCAGGCAAUGGAAUGAUUGUGACCUGCAAUGAUGGCUGUAAUAAUAUAUACAGCUGUUGAUAUGCUGCGUGGGAAGGAAUAAUUGAAGCUUUCUCUUUUAUUUCCCUGCUUUAUUUCUUGUCCCUCUCCUCUCUCCACCCUUCAAAGAUACAUGGUCCUUGAGAGAGAGAGAGAAAGAGAGAGAGAGAUGGAGGUGGGGGUAAGAUCCUCCUCCACUCCAAAAGAAAGGAAAAGAUGCAGAUGCAUGGCCCCCUUCACAUGGGAAAGAGUGCUCUUGUAUCAUAUGGGAAUUGCACAGGAGCCACUUCUCUUUUGCUUCUCUUCUUUCCCAAAGUUGCCUUCUUUGCUUCCUAGUGCUUCUACUUGACUCCUUUUUCCUCCUUUAGGCUUCGUGGAUUAUCUGGCUAAAGCUAAUCCACUCCCUUGCAUGCAUGGGUCACUUUGAAUUCAUCCAUGGCAUCUGAAACCUCCCUUUUAGGGUGGGGGGGUGCUCUGUGGCUAGUUGGUAAGCACCUCCUCCUCGAAGCCAAGGAGAAGAAGGGUAGCCAUUUGACAAGUCACCAUCUGAGACUUUUGUGACGGUGGUGUAAGAAGCAUGUGAAGUUUGCCACCAAGCAAUGUGAUGAAUGCUAGUGGAUUGAGAGAAGAUCCAAUGAGAUAUCUUGAAUGGCCACAUGAAAUGGUCAGUCGUGAUAUUGAUGCCCAUCUAAGAUCUUUCUCCAAUGGCAAAUGGCCCCUGAACAGUCUCUCUCUCUCUCUCUCUCUCUCUCUCUCUCUCUCUCUCUCUCUGUCAAGUGCAGAGAAGCAAGAACUACCUUGUCGGGCAACGGUAAACCUCUCCGUUUCCUUCACAAGAGAUCAAACAGCAUGUAGCGACAAUUCAAGCAGGACGAUAGGGAAGAAAUGAAGUCACGAGACUCGCAAGACAACCACAAGAAGAACAGAAGACGGAAAGCAUAGUUUUCUAGAUGGAUGAUUGGACAUCGAGUGAGUACAAGAGACAAAUCAAACUAGUAAGUAAUGUGCCCAUCAUUUUCGAUAUCAGCACGUCGAUCACCGCACCCCAUGCAGUGGUGCUGCCUGCGACAAAGCCGGUCUUCAGUUCAAGGAGAGAAGGAAUGACCGCCAAAGGCCUUCAAAAGCCGAGGCACUAACACAGGCCUCUUUAGCUUUAACUAAAGAAUGGUGCGCUUCGCCUCACACCCCUCAUUUUACACUGGGAAAGCAGGCGAUGAACGUGCUCGGCCAAAGGAAAAGACAAAAAGAGAGAAAGAGAGCUUCGAAUUAAAGAGGAGGAGAAAACAAAGCGAGAACACAUCAUUCUUUUCUUCCCUCCAUUCUUUGAAGAGAUCAUCGCUCUGGCUCGGAGGACAAGAGAGGAUCUUUGGAAGGUGCCAUGUCUCACCCUUUGCGUUGGCAAUGAAUGACACGAGAGAAACUAAAGUCUCGAUGCGUGCACACUUCCCCAGUUUGAUGGCAGAAGCCUUCCUUGCUCGCCCGGAUGCCCCUGCCCAGCCACCAUAGGCUUUCUUUUAGACUUCUCUAAUGCAUGUCCUUCUUCUCUCUUAAUGUGCAGGAAUCAACAUGUCGAAGCUGAACACUUCACAUCACACAGAGAAACUCGUAUUGAUUGCUUGUAACGAGAUGGACAUCUGCUUCUUUCUCGCUCGAGCUUUGCCACUUUGAACUCAGUGGAAGAAUCCUCGCCUUUUCCUUUUGUCUUGUGCCGCUUCUUUGGAGUUGCAACGUCCACAGCAUGCUUUGUUCACGUUGCAAAAGGAGCCACCGCUGCAAAAGAGACACUCAAGGAGGCGACGAGCAGUGCGAACGAGAUUAGAGAUAAUGCAUGGGCAAGAAAUGAUCAAACAAUAAUUAGCGUAAAAUAAAAUAUAGGAGGUGAUGAGUAGUGUCUUCUUUCUGUUUUUUAAGGUGCUCGAGUCCAAGCAUCUUCUUUCCGUUCUAAAAGCAUAUGAUAGUGGAAUGCCGAUUUGGGUCUACACAAUCCCACUAGUUUAGCUUCAUGGAUUAUGGAGACACUGCUGUCGAAGAAAAAGAUGAUUAUGGACUCGACCACACCAGUCUUUUUUGUGCUCAUAGAAACUAACAUCAAUCGAUCAGACAAUGAUGUGAUGGAGCAUUUGUCAUCAUUUCUAGCAUUAUUAGCUAAGUCACAGAUGAUGGAUCACCGAAGGCUGCCUCGCCUGUGUUGUUCCAUCAUGCUGCUGUCAGGCAGCCUUCGGAAAAGGGUUGACAACCAUCAAUAAUGUUGAAACAGUGGAAGUAUCAGUCUCAUUCAUGUCAUAUCUGCAUCUCGAGUGGCAUAUCGACAAUCACACUCUUUCCACCGCCGUGGCUGAUUCUGAUCUCGUCUCCUUCCAUGGGUGGAUGCAUUGCAAUUGCAAAAGAGUCAAUUUCAGAUGAAGAAUCUCGUUAUCUUAACGUAUGCUAAGAUGCAUCAUUAUACACUGCUCGAAGCCUGCGUAGAAAUUGAAGGAGGUGCAGAAACUGAGAGGGAUUGAAUCGUCUGACAAGGUGAUCAAUGCUUUUGGGCCCUGGAGAAAUGAUACAAGGCAAAGCAUUAAUGAAGGGAGAAGAAGAAGAGCACGCAGGUAGAGCCGGCUGCCUCAUCUGCUAAUUGCAGCAACUGCCGCUGCCGGAAACUGACUCCAUCAGUUCAUCAAGGCGAGCAGAGACUGGCAGCACGGUACCUAAGCCUUCUUUGAACAGGAACAGGAACAGGAACAGGAACAGGUCAUGGAUCUCGAAAGUUUGGAAAGCUGCCUCCUGCUGCAGGUCUUCACUGGAAGAGACAACAUAAGUACUUGGGACAGAUUGCGGACCCUUUUGGUGUCAUUUACCAGUUCAUGCAGAAAUUAUGGUCAGAUGCUCUUCUACUUUGUCAGAGUGGAGAUUCUGGACAAGAUUUGGAUACAGUGCUCGGUCAUCAGUGUCAAAUAAAUAAACAUUCAAAGAUGUUCUUGCACUGAAUUCUGAUGGGUAAUUACAGUAUUUUUUAGA